GCGCCUGUAGCUCAGUUGGAGAGAGCGUCGGACUUCGAAUCCGAAGGCCGCAGGUUCGAUUCCUGCCAGGCGCACCA
rnacentral:tRNA from 1 species